rnacentral:rRNA from 1 species
AACUCUAAGCGGUGGAUCACUCGGCUCAUGGGUCGAUGAAGAACGCAGCAAACUGUGCGUCAUCGUGUGAACUCCUCCUCACUCCUUAUCAACUUUGGAGAAGAUGGACUGGCACGCCCCCCCGCGCACCCACAAGCUUGGAACAACACCA